GCAUCAGUAGCUCAGCGGCUAGAGCACACGCUUCCCAAGCGCCCCAGCGCCAGUUCGAAUCCGGCCUGAUGCU
rfam:Bifidobacterium biavatii DSM 23969 Contig18, whole genome shotgun sequence.